UACGUAGGGUGCAAGCGUUGUCCGGAAUUAUUGGGCGUAAAGAGCUCGUAGGCGGUUUGUCGCGUCUGCUGUGAAAACUCGGGGCUUAACUCCGGGCCUGCAGUGGGUACGGGCAGACUAGAGUGCGGUAGGGGAGACUGGAAUUCCUGGUGUAGCGGUGAAAUGCGCAGAUAUCAGGAGGAACACCGGUGGCGAAGGCAGCCCCCUGGGCUAGCACUGACGCUCAGGCACGAAAGCGUGGGGAGCAAACAGG
rnacentral:rRNA from 1 species